rfam:Curtobacterium sp. Leaf183 contig_4, whole genome shotgun sequence.
GCGCGAGUGGCGGAAUUGGUAGACGCGCACGGUUCAGGUCCGUGUGCUGGAAACGGCGUGGGGGUUCAAGUCCCCCCUCGCGCA